UGCGUAGGCGGUUUUAUAAGUCACUUGUAAAAGAUCUCAGCCCAACUGAGUAAGGCGAGUGAAACUGUAAGACUUGAAUACGGUAGAGGUAAGUGGAAUUCCAUGUGUAGCGGUGGAAUGCGUAGAUAUAUAGAGGAACACCAAUGGCGAAGGCAACUUACUGGGCCAGAAUUGACGCUGAGGCACGAAAGCGUGGGGAGCAAACAGGAUUAGAUACCCUGGUAGUCC
rnacentral:rRNA from 1 species